UACAGAGGUCUCAAGCGUUGUUCGGAUUCAUUGGGCGUAAAGGGUGCGUAGGCGGCGUGGUAAGUCGGAUGUGAAAUCUCGGAGCUUAACUCCGAAACUGCAUUCGAUACUGCUGUGCUUGAGGACUGGAGAGGAGACUGGAAUUUACGGUGUAGCGGUGAAAUGCGUAGAUAUCGUAAGGAAGACCAGUGGCGAAGGCGGGUCUCUGGACAGUUCCUGACGCUGAGGCACGAAGGCCAGGGGAGCAAACGGG
rnacentral:rRNA from 1 species